ensembl:lncRNA
GAUUACUGUUCCCACUAUGUUACUGUUCCCACCAGGUUACUGUUCCCACUAUGUUACUGUUCCCACUAUGUUACUGUUCCCACUAUGUUACUGUUCCCACCAGGUUACUGUUCCCACCAUGUUACUGUUCCCACCAGGUUACUGUUCCCACUAUGUUACUGUUCCCACCAGGUUACUGUUCCCACUAUGUUACUGUUCCCACUAUGUUACUGUUCCCACUAUGUUACUGUUCUCACCAGGUUACUGUUCCCACUAUGUUACUGUUCCCACCAGGUUACUGUUCCCACUAUGUUACUGUUCUCACCAGGUUACUGUUCCUACUAUGUUACUGUUCCCACUAUGUUACUGUUCUCACCAGAUUACUGUUCCCACUAUGUUACUGUUCCCACCAGGUUACUGUUCCCACUAUGUUACUGUUCUCACCAGAUUACUGUUCCCACUAUAUUACUGUUCCCACCAGGUUACUGUUCCCACUAUGUUACUGUUCCCACCAGGUUACUGUUCCCACCAGGUUACUGUUCCCACUAUGUUACUGUUCCCACUAGGUUACUGUUCCCA